GGAUUAGAAACCCGGGUAGUCCACGCCCUAAACGAUGAAUACUAGAUGUUAGCGAUAUACAGUUAGCGUCAAAGCGAAAGCAUUAAGUAUUCCACCUGGGGAGUACGCCCGCGAGGGUGAAACUCAAAGGAAUUGACGGGGGCCCGCACAAGCGGAGGAGCAUGUGGUCUAAUUCGAUGAUACGCGAGGAACCUUACCCGGGCUUGAAAGUUACUGAAGUAUCCAGAGAUGGAUGCGUCCGCAAGGACAGGAAACUAGGUGCUGCAUGGCUGUCGUCAGCUCGUGCCGUGAGG
rnacentral:rRNA from 1 species